rnacentral:rRNA from 1 species
GCCUAAAUCUAAGCUAAACAGCACUACAAAAUAACCCCCAAAACAAAGCCAAACCAUUUGUACUAAGCUAGUAAAUGAGAUUAAACACUAUCUAAGCCUUCCGGUACCGCAAGGGAGUGGUGAAAGAACAAUGAAAAACUCAAGCAUAGUACAGCAAAGAUAGACCCUUGUACCUCUUGCAUCAUGGUCUAGUCAAACAACUUCAAACAAAGAGAACUUUAGCCUCCCUACCCGAAACCAAACGAGCUAUUUCUGGCCAGCUUUUCACUAGAGCGCACCCAUCCCUGUAGCAAAAGGGUGGGAAGAUACAGAAAUAGAGGCAAAACGCCUACCGAGCUUGGUGAUAGCUGGCUACUCAACAAAAGAACCUAAGUUCAACCCUAGACUUCACCAAUCAGGAUCACCAAAGCCCUGAACAAACCUCUGCCCCAGUCUAAGGAAACUCAAUGGGGGUACAGCCCCAUUGACCCGGGAUACAACCCGAACUGCGAGAAACUGAUUAUAAAUCUCAAGUGGGCCUCAAAGCAGCCUCCAAAAAAUGCGUUAAAGCUUUUUCUAACACUAAUUCUUCUAAUUAAACAACUCUCCUGGACCCGAUCGAGUUAUUUUAUAAACAAAUAAAAACACCCAUGCUAGAACUAGUAAUGAGAAAAUUUUCUCUUCGCAUAGCCUUAAACCAGAAUCGAAAAACCACUGGCAAUUAACAGACCAUAAACGGAUUGACACAUACACCCACUGGUCCCUAUGUCACCUCCCUAUCUGUUACCCCAACACAGGCAUGCAAAAAAGAAAGGCUAAAACCCACAAAAGGAACUCGGCAAUAGUAUAGUCCCAACUGUUUACCAAAAACAUAGCCUUUAGCCCAACAAGUAUUAAAGGUCCCGCCUGCCCAGUGACUAUUCAACGGCCGCGGUAUCCUAACCGUGCAAAGGUAGCAUAAUCACUUGUCCCCUAAAUAGGGACUAGAAUGAACGGCUAAAUGAGGACUUAACUGUCUCUUGUAGAAGGCCAAUGAAACUGAUCUUUCAGUCCAAAAGCUGAAAUACUGUCAUAAGACGAGAAGACCCUGUGGAGCUUUAAACCUUGACCACCAAACAUGUUCCCUCUUGGUUUUUAGUUGGGGCGACUUCGGAGUAUAAAACAACCUCCGAUAAAACACUAUGUCAAGAUUUACAUAUCGAAACACCCACUUGACCCAGUAGUUCUAGCCAAACUAUCUGAUCUACGAACCAAGUUACCCCAGGGAUAACAGCGCUAUCCCCUUCUAGAGUCCAUAUCGACAAGGGGGCUUACGACCUCGAUGUUGGAUCAGGAAAUCCUAAUAGUGCAACCGCUAUUAAGGGUUCGUUUGUUCAACGAUUAAUAUUCCUACGUGAUCUGAGUUCAGACCGGAGCAAUCCAGGUCGGUUUCUAUCUAUGUGGGACUGUCCCCAGUACGAAAGGAUCGGGAUAGUAAGAUUAAUGCCAAAAGCACAUCCUACCAAAAUUUGCUGAUUUUCUUCUAAAGCGAUUACUGGCCCACCCAGUAACCCUAAAUAAGGGGUUGUUAAGGUGGCAGAGCCA